UACGGAGGAUCCAAGCGUUAUCCGGAAUUACUGGGCGUAAAGAGUUGCGUAGGUGGCAUUGUAAGUAGAUAGUGAAAGCGUGGGGCUCAACCUCAUAUCCAUUAUCUAAACUGCAAAGCUGGAGGACGAGAGAGGUUAUUAGAAUUCCUUGUGUAGGAGUGAAAUCCGUAGAUAUAAGGAGGAAUACCGAUGGCGUAGGCAGAUAACUGGCUCGUUCCUGACACUAAGGCACGAAAGCGUGGGUAGCAAACGGG
rnacentral:rRNA from 1 species